GAUGAACGCUGGCGGCGUGCCUAAUACAUGCAAGUCGAGCGAACAGACGAGGAGCUUGCUCCUCUGACGUUAGCGGCGGGCGGGUGAUUACCACGUGUAUAACCUACCUAUAAGACUGGGAUAACUUAGGGAAACCGGAGCUAAUACCGGAUAAUAUAUUGAACCGCAUGGUUCUUUAGUGAAAGACGGUUUUGCUGUCACUUAUAGAUGGUUCCUCGCCGCAUUGGCUAGUUGGUAAGGUAACGGCUUACCAAGGCGACGAUGCGUAGCCGACCUGAGAGGGUGAGCGGCCACACUGGAACUGAGACACAGUCCAGACUCCUACGGGAGGCGGCAGUAUGGAAUCUUCCGCAAUGGGCGAAAGCCUGACGGAGCACCGCCGCGUGAGUGAUGAAAGUCUUCGGAUCGUAAAACUCUGUUAUUAUGGAAGAACAAAUGUGUAAGUAACUAUGCACGUCUUGACGGUACCUAAUCAGAAAGCCACGGCUAACUACGUG
rnacentral:rRNA from 1 species